CCUACGGGAGGCAGCAGUGAGGAAUAUUGGUCAAUGGACGCAAGUCUGAACCAGCCAUGCCGCGUGCAGGAAGACGGCUCUAUGAGUUGUACACUGCUUUUGUACGAGGGUAAACGCAGAUACGCGUAUCUGUCUGAAAGUAUCGUACGAAUAAGGAUCGGCUAACUCCGUGCCAGCAGCCGCGGUAAUACGGAGGAUUCAAGCGUUAUCCGGAUUUAUUGGGUUUAAAGGGUGCGUAGGCGGUCGGAUAAGUUAGAGGUGAAAUCCCGAGGCUCAACUUCGGACUUGCCUCUGAUACUGUUCGGCUAGAGAGUAGUUGCGGUAGGCGGAAUGUAUGGUGUAGCGGUGAAAUGCUUAGAGAUCAUACAGAACACCGAUUGCGAAGGCAGCUUACCAAGCUACUUCUGACGUUGAGGCACGAAAGCGUGGGGAGCAAACAGGAUUAGAUACCCGGGUAGUC
rnacentral:rRNA from 1 species